rnacentral:rRNA from 1 species
AACGAACGCUGGCGGCAGGCCUAACACAUGCAAGUCGAACGCUCCGCAAGGGGAGUGGCGCACGGGUGAGUAACACGUGGGAACCUACCUUCUGGUACGGAACAACCAAGGGAAACUUUGGCUAAGACCGUAUACGACCUCCGGGUGAAAGAUUGAUCGCCGGAAGAGGGGCCCGCGUCCGAUUAGGUAGUUGGUGAGGUAACGGCUCACCAAGCCUUCGAUCGGUAGCUGGUCUGAGAGGAUGACCAGCCACACUGGGACUGAGACACGGCCCAGACUCCUACGGGAGGCAGCAGUGGGGAAUAUUGGACAAUGGGCGCAAGCCUGAUCCAGCCAUGCCGCGUGAGUGAUGAAAGCCUUCGGGUUGUUAAAGCUCUUUCACCCACGACGAUGAUGACGGUAGUGGGAGAAGAAGCCCC